GCCACUGCUAUUGGGGUUCGGCUAAGCCAUGCGAGUGGAGGGCGUCCCGCAAGGGAUGGCCCCGCAGACGGCUCAGUAACACGUCGUCAACCCACCUUAGGGUGGGGGACAACCUCGGGAAACUGAGGAUAAUCCCCCAUAGGCGGGGGAGGCUGGAAUGCGCCCCCGCUGAAAGCUCAGGCGCCCUAGGACGGGACGGUGGCCUAUCAGGUAGUUGGUGGUGUGACG
rnacentral:rRNA from 1 species